rnacentral:misc_RNA from 1 species
AUAUAUCAACCUCUUCAGCUUUUUUGCGUGUCGAGUGUUGGAUGUGGGGGUAUUUCUUUUGCUGGACUCUUCUUGAGGUCAGCUCCCCUAAAAUGCAUUAGCGAAACAAUUUGUCUUACUGCUCAUUGGUGUGAUAACUAUCUACGCUAUUGACGGGUAAAGCACAGUUUAGCUUCCAACAGUCCAUUGACUUGGACAAACUUUUUAUUA